rnacentral:tRNA from 1 species
GAUCCGGUAGCUCAGUGGCAGAGCGGUGCGGAAUCUGCAACGGCAGACGGCGCGCACGGUCAGCGGUUCGAACCCGCUCCGGAUCA